rnacentral:rRNA from 1 species
UACGUAGGGUGCAAGCGUUGUCCGGAAUUAUUUGGGCGUAAAGAGCUCGUAGGCGGUUUGUCGCGUCUGCUGUGAAAACCCGAGGCUCAACCUCGGGCCUGCAGUGGGGUACGGGCAGACUAGAGUGGCGGUAGGGGAGAUUGGAAUUCCUGGUGUAGCGGUGGAAUCGCAGAUAUCGGGAGGAAGCACCGGUGGCGAAGGCGGUUCUCUGGGCCUUACCUGACGCUGGAGGAGCGAAAGCGUGGGGAGCG